GAAGAAGCAAGCUGCAGCGACACACAAAUUGUGAUGGUAGCUCCUUUAGUAUCAGCAACAAAUCCUAUGAUCGUUGGAGGCCGUCUCUUCGAGACUAAAUAAAUAAAACAUCUCAGAGACUACGCUAAGGAGCUGCUUAUUCUGGCCAACUUAUCAUAGGAGGCCGCCAGAAGAAUAUGUAAAUGAGGGUGGAGCAGGACUUGAAGCAGCGAAAGAUAAAACCAGCGUCAGAGAUCAUAAGAAUCGAGCAAGUGGGAAUGGAAAACUGUAAGAUGAUUUUAAAACUUGGAGAGAAAGGGAGCAGGCUGAAACAGCUAAGAUCGAGCAGCAAAGAUUGAGCAGCUUAAAGACGAAAAAUUUCUUAAACCAAGCAGGGGCAGCAGCUUCAAAAGGAAAAGUGGAAGCAGCUAAAGAGCAGUGAGCAGCGGAAUAGUUCAGACUCGUGAUAGUUUUUUUCAUAUCAUUUUCUUUGAUUUAGCUGUAAAAACGAUGAUUUA